GUCUGGUGGGUAGUUUGACUGGGGCGGUCUCCUCCUAAAGAGUAACGGAGGAGCACGAAGGUUGGCUAAUCCUGGUCGGACAUCAGGAGGUUAGUGCAAUGGCAUAAGCCAGCUUGACUGCGAGCGUGACGGCGCGAGCAGGUGCGAAAGCAGGUCAUAGUGAUCCGGUGGUUCUGAAUGGAAGGGCCAUCGCUCAACGGAUAAAAGGUACUCCGGGGAUAACAGGCUGAUACCGCCCAAGAGUUCAUAUCGACGGCGGUGUUUGGCACCUCGAUGUCGGCUCAUCACAUCCUGGGGCUGAAGUAGGUCCCAAGGGUAUGGCUGUUCGCCAUUUAAAGUGGUACGCGAGCUGGGUUUAGAACGUCGUGAGACAGUUCGGUCCCUAUCUGCCGUGGGCGCUGGAGAACUGAGGGGGGCUGCUCCUAGUACGAGAGGACCGGAGUGGACGCAUCACUGGUGUUCGGGUUGUCAUGCCAAUGGCACUGCCCGGUAGCUAAAUGCGGAAGAGAUAAGUGCUGAAAGCAUCUAAGCACGAAACUUGCCCCGAGAUGAGUUCUCCCUGACUCCUUGAGAGUCCUGAAGGAACGUUGAAGACGACGACGUUGAUAGGCCGGGUGUGUAAGCGCAGCGAUGCGUUGAGCUAACCGGUACUAAUGAACCGUGAGGCUUAACCUU
rnacentral:rRNA from 1 species